rnacentral:tRNA from 1 species
GCUUUCUUAGCUCAGUCGGUAGAGCGCGAGUCUCAUAUGAUGAUCCUGAUUACAGGAGCAAUCUCGAGGUCGCAAGUUCGAGCCUUGCAGGGAGCA